rnacentral:misc_RNA from 1 species
UUCUUGCUCGAGGGCAUAGCCGAGUUCCUGUGUAUUCUGGGAAUCCAAAAAAUAUUAUAGGACUUCUUCUGGUGAAAAGCCUUCUCACUGUACGACCUGAGACAGAGACCCCAGUCAGUGCUGUUUCAAUUCGGAGAAUUCCACGGGUUCCAUCUGAUAUGCCUCUGUAUGAUAUACUGAAUGAGUUUCAAAAGGGCAGCAGUCAUAUGGCAGCUGUUGUGAAGUCUAAAACUAAAACCAAGGUACCUUUAUCAACAGGAGAAAAAGUUGAAGAAAACAAAGCAAAUUGUGGGGAUUCUCACUUGACAACUCCUUUACUAGCUAAGCAACAAGAGAAAUCAGAUAGUGUAGUCGUUGAUAUCAAUAGGGUUUCAAGGCCAUCCAAUAUAAAUAAGCAAAUCACUUCACAAUGUAAUGAUGCAGCAACCAAUGGUUUGCCCCAAACAUCGGAGUACAUUGAAGAUGGUGAAGUUAUUGGUAUCAUCACACUGGAAGAUGUAUUUGAAGAACUUCUGCAGGAGGAAAUUGUGGACGAAACAGAUGAAUAUGUAGAUGUACAUAGAAGAAUCCGUGUGGCUGCAGCUGCAGCUGCUUCAUCAGUGGCACGAGCUCCAUCAAGUCGGAGGUUGACAGUAAACAAAGGAGCUGGAGGUCAAAGCAAGCCAGGGCAAACCCCCAGGAAAUCUGAGAAUGAUUCGAGUACCCCAAGGUUACUAGGGGCUGCUGGUGAGCCUUUUUCUGCAAACAAGAGAUGAGAAAGGAUAUACAGUUGUGUACUUUGCAACAGUUCUGAGAAGAGAGGUACUUUUUGUCCCUACUACAAUAAAUAUGGAAUAAAUGCUUGUAAUAUAUGGAAAUUGAUUGUACUGAGCGGACUGUCUUCUCCUUCCAGCUACGUGCUCUUCCAUUGCUGUUGUUUGUGAUGUGUAUCGUGUAUUGAGAAAAAU